CGAUCCCAAAACUAACAGCUGGGCACUCAAGCUAUUUGGUAAGAUAGUGUCGAUGUGAAAGAAAAAAAAAUAAUCCCCUUUUCAGGCAGAAGCCAGCUUCGGUUUCAGAAGAGUACAGGCCAUGGAGCUUGGAUCAGUUCACAGGGGAGAGAAGACAGCGCAGGGAGAGGACAGCCAACUCCAGCAGGAGCUGAGGCCUUUCUGAGCAGAGGCCACAGCCCUCACAGCUCCCCCCCAGCCUCCUCAGCAGCCCACAGCAGUGAUGAACGCUGUCCUCCUUCUCCUCCUCUCCAGAAGAUGCUCCGCGUGCAGCCCCAGAGACCACGCUCCCAGGGCCGUGUUUGCCUCCAGGAGAAUAACGUAGUCAACCCUGUGUUCCUGCAGUCAGGUGAAGAGGAAGGUUCAUCUGGGAAGAAUAUUUAGUCCAAAACAAAAACCAAACCCUUAAACGGAAGGCAUCUUCCUAUAUGUAUCGCAGUCAGUAUCACGGUUUAGAGGAACUCAAAAUCCUUCCGAGAGCCCUUUGAGUCUCACUUAUGGGGACUUGGGCUCCGUAUGACAUGAAACUGCACUGUCUGCAUCAGGAUAAGAAAUAGUUUAAGUCAUUAAAGCUAUUCAGGAUACACACCAUUCACUUAAUGCCACUGAUACCUGAUUUCAUACCUCACUGCUUGUCGUUUCUGGUCUGUAAAAUCCAGUGCUCUGGUAGAUGGGAAUUCCUAUCCCUAGAAUAGGAAAUACUGUUUUCCA
rnacentral:lncRNA from 1 species